rnacentral:lncRNA from 1 species
CAGCGCACGCGCUCCCAUUCAAAGCAGACCCGCUCCGCGGCCGCACUGAAGCUCCAAAGCCGCGCCGCCUGCCCCAGCGCAGCUCUGUCUCGUGGGGCGCACGCCCGAGCCCGCCUGCCGGCCGCCGCCGCGGAGCCACCGCAAUCAGCGCAGGAGGCGGCCACCUCUUCGAGGGAGGGGUCUCGCCUGAGACUCCCCUUGGUCCCCGCCAUGGGGACCAUGGCACGACUGGAGGCGCCCCAGUGCCCCGGGUUCCUGGCCCGCCUCCUCGGUGGCACCUGGUGCCUGCUCUGUAUCGCCGGACAGGACUCAUUUCUUCAAGUGGUUUCGACUUCCUAUUAUCUGGAUUUGAUCCAUCACUUAUGUCAGAUCAACUAAGCCUGGUCCAUCAUGGUUACAAAGUGCCCAGCCUGGCACCAUGCAUGGUAUGCGGAGACCAAAGCCAAGGGGCUGUUUUCCUGCGGGAAUUUACACUGAUUCGAAGAGAGAGCCUCCAUGAAGAUUUCCUGUCUGACCUCUUGAAUAGUCACAAAACUGAAGACUCGGCAACAAUUUUUCUACUUAAAGAAGGACUAUCAGCCAUGAAUAGAUCUAAGCUGAAGUGGAAAAAAAAGUGAUCUGAAUAUGUAAAGUCAC